ensembl:lncRNA
CAGACGGCGAGUAUUGCAGCGGCAAAGCCUACACACACUGGGUUGAAAAGAGCUUCUCUUAUUCAGCGUUACAUGUCCUCUUGAACACAGACAUGUAUCGCCCGGGUGAACCUGUUCGCCAGGCGCCUCCACCGCUGCCGUUCGGACCUCCACCGCCUCACGGCCCUCCUUUUAGACUCACAGGGCCCUGCUCUGUUCCUCCUCCUGGACACUUACCCCCCAGGCCCUGUGGACCAUAUCCCGGCGCGGCACGAGAUUAUCUCCACAACAGACCGUCGAGUGGGCAUUUCGUUCGUCUACAAAGGACAAACGAACAAAAAGUGACUGCACAUCUCAAGCAUCUGAUAAACAUAAGGAGGGUGACAGUGAGGAAAGGAAGAGAGAGAAACAACAGAAAGUAAAUAAAAUGGAGUCUUUGGCCAAAGAACUGGAUGAACUGUUAAAACAAGAUGGACAGGGUUUUAUAACUUCAGUUACUGGCUUUUACUGCCAGAAAUGUGAGGAGUUCAUUGGAGAUUUGAAGUCUGCUGAAAACCAUGCAGCUAUCCGCCAUCAUAGUAAUUCUAUUCCAAAAGAACAGACGGACAGGCACUCUAAAGACAGCAAAGGACACCCUCAUCAUUACAGUGCCUCCAGUAAUCGACACCCUGCCCCCCCAGACAGGAGAGAUCACAGGGGUUAUGGUUACCACGGGGAUUCAGGAAACCACCGGAAUAGGACAGACCAUCUACGGAAUUGGAAGGAUGAGAAAGAUUUCAGAAGCCAAUACCAUGAUGAUGACCACAAAAGUCACAAGGAUAGAGAUGAAAACAUCUUCUUGAAAGAGGAAAUGAAAAAGGAGCAAAUGUUUAUAACAGUCUCCGAUGGACUGACACCUUCAACUUCUAACAUCAGGGUCAAGGAGGAGGUGGACAAGGAGAAGGCCACUGGAAGCCAUGGUAAAGUUAAAGCGAAAGACCUAGAAUCAUCCAAGGAGAAAAAAGGCAGCAUUGAAAAUGAUAAAUACAGUGAUAGCACUGAUGAUGACGGAAAAUCACCUAAAACAAAAAAGAAUAAAAAGAAAAAGAAGAAGAAGGAGAAAAAGAAUAAGAAACAGAAGGAAGAUAAGUCUUAGGUGUUAUAUUGUCCUUGUCAUAUAACUCUGGGAUCAUGGUGUAGCAGCUUAUUUCUGGACUGAUUUUCUAACAUAGUUUUCUCACUUUCUUUUCCUCCACCCAAUUGUUUUUUGUUACUGUCAUUAUGAAGGAAUAGACUGAUAUGUUAGGAAGCACGUUUGUUGGUGGUCGUUCUCUAAAAGUAGUUUAGUAUUACUUUUAUCUUUGUGUAUCUAGGACAGUGGUCUUUACCUCACUUAGAACUAAGAUUGACUUUUCUCAGUUAAUUUAGGUAUUUUUUCCCACUUCAGACAGCGUGUGUGCUCGGUCAAAUGAAUUCUCAUGUGGAAUGAAAUGUUCUCAUGUGUUCCUCAGUAAACAGGCAAACAAAAACCUUUUCCAAAACGUCUGUUCCCUUUACACAUUCUGCACAGUUUUCAGCAGUACUGUAUUAAUGUCUGCCACGUUUCAGGUAUGGCAUCACAUCUUGGUUCUAUCUUUUAAUUAAAUGUUCGAGAAAAUAAGCAGUAAGUACUUUUUUCAUUUC